GACGAACGCUGGCGGCGUGCCUAAUACAUGCAAGUCGAACGCACGAAGUUGAAGAGCUUGCUCUUUAACCAAGUGAGUGGCGGACGGGUGAGUAACACGUGGGUAACCUACCCAUUAGAGGGGGAUAACAUUCGGAAACGGAUGCUAAUACCGCAUAGUUUCAGGAAUCGCAUGAUUCGUGAAGGAAAGGUGGCUUCGGCUACCACUAAUGGAUGGACCCGCGGCGUAUUAGCUAGUUGGUGAGGUAAUGGCUCACCAAGGCAAUGAUACGUAGCCGACCUGAGAGGGUGAUCGGCCACACUGGGACUGAGACACGGCCCAGACUCCUACGGGAGGCAGCAGUAGGGAAUCUUCCGCAAUGGACGAAAGUCUGACGGAGCAACGCCGCGUGAGUGAAGAAGGUUUUCGGAUCGUAAAACUCUGUUGUUAAAGAAGAACAAGGAUGAGAGUAACUGCUCGUCCCCUGACGGUAUUUAACCAGAAAGCCACGGCUAACUACGUGCCAGCAGCCGCGGUAAUACGUAGGUGGCAAGCGUUGUCCGGAUUUAUUGGGCGUAAAGCGAGCGCAGGCGGUUCUUUAAGUCUGAUGUGAAAGCCCCCGGCUCAACCGGGGAGGGUCAUUGGAAACUGGAGAACUUGAGUGCAGAAGAGGAGAGUGGAAUUCCACGUGUAGCGGUGAAAUGCGUAGAUAUGUGGAGGAACACCAGUGGCGAAGGCGACUCUCUGGUCUGUAACUGACGCUGAGGCUCGAAAGCGUGGGGAGCAAACAGG
rnacentral:rRNA from 1 species